UGUAGAGCCACCAUUCAGGGAGAAAGUAGCUGCUGGGCUCCGGGAACACUUGGCAUCUGGGCUCGGAGCAUGCUUUCCAUGACAAUGACACGCUUCCCUGAGGAUUGGCAGCCAGACUGCCUUCGGGGUCACUGCCAUGGAGGAGCCACAGUCCAAUCUCAGCAUCGACCCCUUCUCAGUCAGGAAACAUUUUCAGACCUAUGGAAACUACUUCCUGAAAACAACGUUCUGUCCUCCUCGCUUUCCCAACCCGUGGAUGAUUUGAUGCUGUCCCCGGAUGAUAUUGCACAAUGGUUCGGUCAAGACCUGGUUCCAGAUGAAGCUCCUACAGUGUCAGAGGCUCCUCCCGUCGUGGCCCAGGCACUGACAGCUCCUACACCAGUGGCCCCCACGCCCCCCUUCUGGCCCCUGUCAUCCUCUGUCCCUUUGCAGAAAACCUACCAUGGUGACUAUGGUUUCUUGGGCUUCUUGCAUCCUGGGACAGCCAAGUCUGUGACUUGCACGUACCCCUGCCCUCGACAAGAUGUUUUGCCAACUGGCCAAGACCUGCCCCAUGCAGCUGUGGGUUGAUUCCAUACCCCGCACCUGGCACCCGCGUCAGUGCUAUGGCCAUCUACAAUCAGUCACAGCUCAUGACGGAGGUCAUGAGGCACUGCCCCCACCAUGAGCGCUGCUCAGAUAGUGAUGGUCUGGCCCCUCCUCAGCAUCUUAUCAGUAGAAGGAAAUUUACAUAUGGAGUAUCUGGAUGACAGAAACACUUUUUGACAUAGCGUGGCAGCACCCUAUGAGCCGCCUGAGGUUGGCUCUGAUUGUGCCACCACAUGUGUAACAGUUCCUGCAUGGGCAGCAUGAACCAGAGGCCUAUCCUCAUCAUCACCUGGAAUAUUCCAGUGGUGAUCUGCUGGAAUGGAGCAGCUUUGAGGUGAGCGUUUGUGCCUGUCCUGGGAGAGACUGGUGCACAAAGGAAGAGAAUGUCCUCAAGAAAGGGGAGCCUUGCCCUGAUGUGCCACCUGGGAGCACUAUGCGAGCACUGCCCAACAGCACCAGCUCCUCUCUCCAGCCAAAGAAGAACCCACUGGAUGGAGAAUAUUUCACCCUUCAGAUCCAUGGGUAUGAGUGCUUUAAGAUGUUCCCAGAGCUGAAUGAGGCCUUGGAACUCAAGGAUGCCCGGGAUGGGAAGGAGCCAGUGGGGAGCAGGGCCUACUCCAGCCACCUGAAGUCCAAGAAGGGGCAGUCUACCUCCCGCCGUAAAAAACUAAUGGUCAAGAGAGAGGAACCUGACUCAGACUGACAUUCUCCACUUCUUGUUUCCCACUGACAGCCUCCCACCGCAUCUCUCCCUCCUCUGCCAUUUUGGGUUUUGGAUCCUUGAACCCUUGCUUGCCAUAGGUGUGCAUCAGAAACACCCAGGACUUCCGUUUGCUUUGUCCUGGAGCUUGACUGAGGAUAUUGGCCUGCACUUGUGUUUUGUUGUGGGGAGGAGGAUGGGGAUUACGGCAUACCAGCUUUGAUUUUAAGGUUUUUACUGUGAGGGAUAUUUGGGAGAUGUAAGAAUUUUUCUUGUAGGUAAGGGUUAGUUUACAAUCAACCACAUAGUAGGUGGGGGCCCACUUCUUCACCAUACUAACCAGGGAAGCUGUCCCACACUCUUUAAUUUCCUCUAACUUCAAGUUCUAUAUCUGUGAAAUGCUGGCAUUUGUACCUCCUCACGGUGUGUUGUGAGGGUGAAUGAAAUAAUGUAUGUCUGGCCUUGAAACCACCUUUUAUUACAUGGGGUCUUGAACUUGACCCCCUUGAGGGUUCUUGUUCCCUGUCCCUGUUGGUCAGUGGGUUAGUAGUUUCUAUAGUUGGGCAGCUGGUUAGGUAGAGGGCAUUGCCAAGCCUCUGCUUGUCUGACAAAAUCCUCUCUGACAACCUCUUGGUGAACCUUAGUACCUAAAAGGAAAUCUCAGCCCAUCCCAUACUCUGGAGAUUUCAUUUCUUGUAUAUGAUGAUCUGGAUCCACCAAGACUUGUUUAAUGCUCAGGGUCAAUUUGUUUUCUUUUUUCUUUGAGACAGGGUCUUGUUCUGUUGCCCAGACUGGAGUGCAGUGGUGUGAUCUUGGCUCACCACAGCCUUCACCUCCCCGGCUCAAGCAAUCCUUCUGCUUCACCCUUUUGAGUAGCUGGGACCACAGGCUUAUGGCACCACGGCCGGCUAAUUUUUACAUGUUUUGUAGAGAUGGAGUCUCGCAAUGUUGGCUAGGCUGGUCUCAAACUCCUGGGCUCAAGCAAUCCACCUGCCUCGGCCUCCCAGAAUGCUGGGAUUACAAGCAUGAGCCACCGCAUCCAGCUGGAAGGGUCAAUUUCUUUUACAUUCUGCAAGCACAUCUGCAUUUUCACCCCACCCCUUCCCCUCCUCCUCCCUUUUUAUAUCCCAUUUUUAUAUCAAUUUCUUAUUUUGCAAUAAAACUUUGUUGCCAAA